GUUCCAUUAGUGUAGAGGUUAUCACCCGGGCCUUUGAAGCCCGUGACACAGGUUCGAUCCCUGUAUGGAACU